GCCAGACUCCUACGGGAGGCAGCAGUGGGGGAUAUUGCACAAUGGGGGGAACCCUGAUGCAGCGACGCCGCGUGGGUGAAGGAGCGUUUCGGCGCGUAAAGCCCUAUCGGCAGGGAAGAAGGAGGACGGUACCUGACUAAGAAGCCCCGGCUAACUACGUGCCAGCAGCCGCGGUAAUACGUAGGGGGCAAGCGUUAUCCGGAUUUACUGGGUGUAAAGGGGGCGCAGACGGCAGCGCAAGCCAGGAGUGAAAGCCCGGGGCCCAACCCCGGGACUGCUCUUGGAACUGCGCGGCUGGAGUGCAGGAGGGGCAGGCGGAAUUCCUAGUGUAGCGGUGAAAUGCGUAGAUAUUAGGAGGAACACCGGUGGCGAAGGCGGCCUGCUGGACUGUGACUGACGUUGAGGCCCGAAGGCGUGGGGAGCAAACAGGAUUAGAUACCCUAGUA
rnacentral:rRNA from 1 species